ACUCGACCAACAAUGUCACAAGUAUAAGAUAUGAACUACCGUCGGCCACUAGCCGGCAAUCCGACCCCUCUGGGUACACCGACCUCAACGGUCAUCGGACAACAGAAGUCAAAAAAUCAACCAACCAGGUCACUGAUACGAAGUACAAGAAACCACUAACCAGGUCACAAGAUCAUAUACAGAUAAAGUCUACUCUACUCCUACACAUGAUACUACACCUGGCAACAACUAAGUAGAGUAAUAAGGAAACAGUAUGGGU
rnacentral:lncRNA from 1 species